rnacentral:rRNA from 1 species
AGCGUAGGCGGCGAUGCAAGUCCGAUGUGAAAGCCCGGGGCUCAACCCCGGGACUGCAUUAGAAACUGUGUUGCUAGAGUGCAGGAGAGGUAAGUGGAAUUCCUAGUGUAGCGGUGAAAUGCGUAGAUAUUAGGAGGAACACCAGUGGCGAAGGCGGCUUACUGGACUGAAACUGACGCUGAGGUGCGAAAGCGUGGGUAGCAAACA